AGUGGUGGAAAUUAAACCAAAUGGGAUAUCUUUAGUAAUUGCGAAUGAACAAGGAUAUGCUUAGCUUGACAAAUGGAGCUAUUGGCUUUGAAUUGUAUUGUGGAAAUGUAUUACCAACAGAGGUGCAGGUGCCAGCCUAUUGAAAUAAAGCGUCAAUGAGGGUGAGAAUCCUGUUUGUCAUGUGCAGCCCUUUGUGCACGGUGUAUAUUUGCUGAGUCACACUCCUUGGCAUUGGAAUGCAAAGUGGGUGGUAAGUUUCAUGUAAAGGUAAACAUGCAAUUGAGACUGAUAGCACACAAGUACCAUGAGGGAAAUAUGAAAAGGACUUUGAAAAGAGAAUUAAAUGAGUUUGUAUUUGCUGAACACAAAGUAAACAGACUUGAUUUGCUUGGUGGGAGUGUUGCACUUGCUUGACAAGAGCUUUGGGCUGUGGGUGUAAUGAUUCUUUCUUUGCAUGCCAGUUUCUAUUUGUACAUCUGAUUACCUUUGCACAUGAAUGAUAAGUCUCCUGUGGGGGGUGGAUUGCAUGUGCAUGUAAUGAUUUGUGUUUUGAUAAAUGUGUCUGGUGUAUGUGUGUGUUCCUGUGCUUGGGGAUGCUUCCUUCCUUGGACUUACAAGCCCUGACACACACAUGCUGGCAAAAUGCUUCUGCUUGACCCGUCUUGAAACACGGACCAAGGAGUCUAACAGAUGUGCAAAGUUUGAAGGUGGUAUACCUUUGUGUGCAAUGAAAGUGUCAGAUGGGAUAUGUGCACCAGCACCCAAUUAAUUAGCGGACAGAGGUUUGAGUUGGAGCAUAUCUAUUAGGACCCGAAAGAUGGUGAACUAUGCCUGAACAGAAUGAAUUCAGAGGAAACUCUGAUGGAGGUUCGUAUCGAUACUGACGUGCAAAUCGUUCGUCAUA
rnacentral:rRNA from 1 species